rnacentral:rRNA from 1 species
GACGUAGGGGGCCAGCGUUGUUCGGAAUUACUGGGUGUAAAGGGUUCGUAGGCGGUGCGGCAAGUCGGGAGUGAAAUCUCUGGGCUUAACCCAGAGGCUGCUUCCGAAACUGCUGUGCUUGAGUGUGGGAGAGGCGCGUGGAAUUGCAGGUGUAGCGGUGAAAUGCGUAGAUAUCUGCAGGAACACCUGCGGCGAAGGCGGGUUGCUGGGCUGACACUGACGCUGACAGCGCGAAAGCUAGGGGAGCGAACGGG